GCUUAGCUAGUUUUUUUACUUAGCAUUAAAAAUUUGCAAAGAAGUUUUACCUGCAUUGGUAAUAGCAUAGAACCUUAUUUAGUUUUGUUGUUUAUAUUUUUUAUAGACAAUUAUGCCCGUGCGUUGCUAUGGACAAAGUUUAAAAAAGUAUCGGAUGCGCAUUGAUGGCCGUGUGUUAAUUUGUAGGGAUCUUCGUGAUUGAGUCGUGGACGGAGAGAGUUGGUCCGACUCGCAUACGGGAUGGACUAAGGCCCACCUGUGAAUGACACAGACGGACCAAAUCAACGUACCAAACCAAAAAUUUGGACCAUCGAACCCCCGCCGCCGCCGGCCUCCGCAUGUUGCUGCUCCGUCCGUCCUGCUCCGGCGCGUGGCGGCCCUCCGGAUUACCCCUGCUUUCGUGAGCGGCUGCCCUCGCGAUGGAUUCCUGUUCUUCUGAAUGAGCCUCCGCUUUGGUCCGCUUAUGCUGCCUGCGGCGCUGCUGCCGUCCGCCCGCCCGUGGCGAUGCGCCGGCCGCCACUAAGAUGCUUGAGGCGCGGAGCCUCCGGGCGCGCCCUGCUUCCGCCUGCUCGUGCUGCUGUGGCGGCUUGCGUGGCGUUCUCCCGCGAGGCUGCGACUGCAUCAUGUCGUCUCCGGCUAGGACGCGCUUCGCUCGUCCACAACGCGGCAGCAGGACUCGCUGAGCUCGUCCGCGAGUCUGCGGCAGCAUCACGUCGGAUCCGGCAAGGUCGCGCCUUCAUAUGCAUGGUUUCUGGGUCAUCCAAAAGAUGAACUGAAGAAUAUUCUUUUAUUAGCAACUCAGAUUUAGAUACGCUUUAUAUGGCCUAAUGCUCCGUUUUUGUACUGUUCAUCAUAUAUAUGUUUUUGAUAAGUCUGUCAAGUGACUUAACAUUUUUUAAGUAGCAAAACACGACCACAAAUCUGUCAUGGUCAUGGAGCUUGGUCAGAUAUUGAUCAGAUAUGUUUUGACCAUUAUGUGAAAUAUUUGAUCCAGAAAUGCAUCGAUUGUAUGACA